GCAUGAACUAAGCCCACCAAUAGGAUGUCAUACAUAUAAUGGGUCAUCUGCUUAUCCAAAACAAGAUCUUCUCCCCAUGGGGCUAAGUCAUGAUUCUCAUGACCUGCGUUUGAAAAUGCAUACAAGUCUGAGGAUUUCACCACUCUAGGCUAA
rnacentral:ribozyme from 2 species